CGGGGGGAGCAAGCGUUGUUCGGAUUUACUGGGCGUAAAGGGCGCGUAGGCGGCCACCGCAAGUCGAUUGUGAAAUCUCUGGGCUUAACCCGGAAAGGUCAACCGAUACUGCGGGGCUAGAGUGCAGAAGGGGCAACUGGAAUUCUCGGUGUAGCGGUGAAAUGCGUAGAUAUCGAGAGGAACACCUGCGGCGAAGGCGGGUUGCUGGGCUGACACUGACGCUGAUGCGCGAAAGCUAGGGGAGCGAACGGGAUUAGAUACCCCGGUAGUCCUAGCCUUAAACGAUGGAUGCUUGGUGUCUGGGGUUUUAUAGUCCCCGGGUGCCGUCGCUAACGCUUUAAGCAUCCCGCCUGGGGAGUACGGUCGCAAGACUG
rnacentral:rRNA from 1 species